rnacentral:rRNA from 1 species
ACGAACGCUGGCGGCGUGCCUAAUACAUGCAAGUAGAACGCUGAAGGAGGAGCUUGCUUCUCUGGAUGAGUUGCGAACGGGUGAGUAACGCGUAGGUAACCUGCCUGGUAGCGGGGGAUAACUAUUGGAAACGAUAGCUAAUACCGCAUAAGAGUAGAUGUUGCAUGACAUUUGCUUAAAAGGUGCAAUUGCAUCACUACCAGAUGGACCUGCGUUGUAUUAGCUAGUUGGUGGGGUAACGGCUUACCAAGGCGACGAUACAUAGCCGACCUGAGAGGGUGAUCGGCCACACUGGGACUGAGACACGGCCCAGACUCCUACGGGAGGCAGCAGUAGGGAAUCUUCGGCAAUGGACGGAAGUCUGACCGAGCAACGCCGCGUGAGUGAAGCAGGUUUUCGGAUCGUAAAGCUCUGUUGUAAGAGAAGAACGAGUGUGAGAGUGGAAAGUUCACACUGUGACGGUAUCUUACCAGAAAGGGACGGCUAACUACGUG